AAACUGCGAAUGGCUCAUUAAAUCAGUUAUCGUUUAUUUGAUAGUACCUUACUACUUGGAUAACCGUGGUAAUUCUAGAGCUAAUACAUGCUGAAAACCCUGACUUCGGAAAGGGUGUAUUUAUUAGAUAAAAAACCAAUGCCCUUUGGGCUCUUUGGUGAUUCAUGAUAACUUAACGGAUCGCAUGGCCUUGCGCCGGCGACGGUUCAUUCAAAUUUCUGCCCUAUCAACUUUCGAUGGUAAGGUAUUGGCUUACCAUGGUUUCAACGGGUAACGGGGAAUUAGGGUUCGAUUCCGGAGAGGGAGCCUGAGAAACGGCUACCACAUCCAAGGAAGGCAGCAGGCGCGCAAAUUACCCAAUCCCGACACGGGGAGGUAGUGACAAUAAAUACUGAUACAGGGCUCUUUUGGGUCUUGUAAUCGGAAUGAGUACAAUUUAAACCUCUUAACGAGGAACAAUUGGAGGGCAAGUCUGGUGCCAGCAGCCGCGGUAAUUCCAGCUCCAAUAGCGUAUAUUAAAGUUGUUGCAGUUAAAAAGCUCGUAGUUGAAUCUUGGGCCUGGCUGGCCGGUCCGCCUCACCGCGUGUACUGGUCUGGCCGGGCCUUUCCUUCUGGAGAACCUCAUGCCCUUCAGUGGGUGUGUUGGGGAACCAGGACUUUUACUUUGAAAAAAUUAGAGUGUUCAAAGCAGGCCUUUGCUCGAAUACGUUAGCAUGGAAUAAUAGAAUAGGACGUGCGGUCCUAUUUUGUUGGUUUCUAGGACCGCCGUAAUGAUUAAUAGGGAUAGUCGGGGGCAUCAGUAUUCAAUUGUCAGAGGUGAAAUUCUUGGAUUUAUUGAAGACUAACUACUGCGAAAGCAUUUGCCAAGGAUGUUUUCAUUAAUCAGUGAACGAAAGUUAGGGGAUCGAAGACGAUCAGAUACCGUCGUAGUCUUAACCGUAAACUAUGCCGACUAGGGAUCGGGCGAUGUUUCUAUCUUGACUCGCUCGGCACCUUACGAGAAAUCA
rnacentral:rRNA from 1 species